GAGGGGCCCGCGUUCGAUUAGGUAGUUGGUGAGGUAAUGGCUCACCAAGCCUACGAUCGAUAGCUGGUCUGAGAGGAUGAUCAGCCACACUGGGACUGAGAUACGGCCCAGACUCCUACGGGAGGCAGCAGUGGGGAAUAUUGGACAAUGGGGGCAACCCUGAUCCAGCAAUGCCGCGUGAGUGAUGAAGGCCUUCGGGUUGUAAAGCUCUUUUGCCAGGGACGAUGAUGACGGUACCUGGAGAAUAAGCCCCGGCUAACUUCGUGCCAGCAGCCGCGGUAAUACGAAGGGGGCAAGCGUUGUUCGGAAUUACUGGGCGUAAAGGGCGCGUAGGCGGCUUAUCAAGUCAGGCGUGAAAUUCCCGGGCUCAACCUGGGGGCUGCGUUUGAUACUGAUGAGCUUGAAUGCGGGAGAGGAUAGUGGAAUUCCCAGUGUAGAGGUGAGAUUCGUAGAUAUUGGGAAG
rnacentral:rRNA from 1 species